rnacentral:rRNA from 1 species
UACAGAGGGGGCAAGCGUUGUUCGGAAUUACUGGGCGUAAAGGGCGCGUAGGCGGCCUGUUAAGUCGAACGUGAAAUCCCCGGGCUCAACCUGGGAACUGCGCUUGAUACGGCAGAGCUAGAGGAUGGAAGAGGGUCGCGGAAUUCCCAGUGUAGAGGUGAAAUUCGUAGAUAUUGGGAAGAACACCGGUGGCGAAGGCGGCGACCUGGUCCAUUACUGACGCUGAGGCGCGACAGCGUGGGGAGCAAACAGG